GAUGAACGCUAGCUACAGGCUUAACACAUGCAAGUUGAGGGGUAACGAGAGGGAAGCUUGCUUUCCUUGUCGACGACCGGCGGAUGGGUGAGUAACGCGUAUCCAACCUGCCCUUCAUUAAGGGAUAGCCUUUCGAAAGAAAGAAUAAUACCUUAUGUGAUCGUCUGAUGCCAUCAGACGACGAUGAAAGAUUUAUCGCGUAAGGAUGGGGAUGCGUCCCAUUAGGCAGUAGGCGGGGUAACGGCCCACCUAACCUACGAUGGGUAGGGGUUCUGAGAGGAAGGUCCCCCACAUUGGAACUGGGACACGGUCCAAACUCCUACGGGAGGCAGCAGUGAGGAAUAUUGGUCAAUGGCCGUAAGGCUGAACCAGCCAAGUAGCGUGCAGGAUGACGGCCCUAUGGGUUGUAAACUGCUUUUAAACGGGGAUAAAGUGAGCCACGUGUGGUUUAUUGCAGGUACCGUUUGAAUAAGGACCGGCUAAUUCCGUGCCAGCCGCCGCGGUAA
rnacentral:rRNA from 1 species